CGGCGGACGGGUGAGUAACACGUGGAUAACCUACCUAUAAGACUGGGAUAACUUCGGGAAACCGGAGCUAAUACCGGAUAACAUAUUGAACCGCAUGGUUCAAUAGUGAAAGGCGGCUUUGCUGUCACUUAUAGAUGGAUCCGCGCCGUAUUAGCUAGUUGGUAAGGUAACGGCUUACCAAGGCAACGAUACGUAGCCGACCUGAGAGGGUGAUCGGCCACACUGGAACUGAGACACGGUCCAGACUCCUACGGGAGGCAGCAGUAGGGAAUCUUCCGCAAUGGGCGAAAGCCUGACGGAGCAACGCCGCGUGAGUGAUGAAGGUCUUCGGAUCGUAAAACUCUGUUAUCAGGGAAGAACAAAUGUGUAAGUAACUGUGCACAUCUUGACGGUACCUGAUCAGAAAGCCACGGCUAACUACGUGCCAGCAGCCGCGGUAAUACGUAGGUGGCAAGCGUUAUCCGGAAUUAUUGGGCGUAAAGCGCGCGUAGGCGGUUUUUUAAGUCUGAUGUGAAAGCCCACGGCUCAACCGUGGAGGGUCAUUGGAAACUGGAAAACUUGAGUGCAGAAGAGGAAAGUGGAAUUCCAUGUGUAGCGGUGAAAUGCGCAGAGAUAUGGAGGAACACCAGUGGCGAAGGCGACUUUCUGGUCUGUAACUGACGCUGAUGUGCGAAAGCGUGGGGAUCAAACAGGAUUAGAUACCCUGGUAGUCCACGCCGUAAACGAUGAGUGCUAAGUGUUAGGGGGUUUCCGCCCCUUAGUGCUGCA
rnacentral:rRNA from 1 species